UACAGAGGUCUCAAGCGUUGUUCGGAUUUAUUGGGCGUAAAGGGUGCGUAGGCGGCGAGGUAAGUCUGGGUGUGAAAUCCUGGGGCUCAACCCCAGAAUUGCACUGGAUACUGCUUUGCUAGAGGACUGGAGAGGAGAUUGGAAUUCACGGUGUAGCAGUGAAAUGCGUAGAUAUCGUGAGGAAGACCAGUGGCGAAGGCGAAUCUCUGGACAGUUCCGUGACGCUGAGGCACGAAAGGCUAGGGGAGCAA
rnacentral:rRNA from 1 species